UGGGGAAUAUUGGGCAAUGGGCGAAAGCCUGACCCAGCAACGCCGCGUGAAGGAAGAAGGUCUUCGGAUUGUAAACUUCUUUUAUGAGGGACGAAGGACGUGACGGUACCUCAUGAAUAAGCCACGGCUAACUACGUGCCAGCAGCCGCGGUAAUACGUAGGUGGCAAGCGUUAUCCGGAUUUACUGGGUGUAAAGGGCGCGUAGGCGGGGGAUGCAAGUCAGAUGUGAAAUAUAUGGGCUUAACUCAUAACUGCAUUUGAAACUGUAUCUCUUGAGUGCUGGAGAGGUAGACGGAAUUCCUUGUGUAGCGGUGAAAUGCGUAGAUAUAAGGAAGAACACCAGUGGCGAAGGCGGUCUACUGGACAGUAACUGACGCUGAGGCGCGAAAGCGUGGGGAGCAAACAGGAUUAGAUACCC
rnacentral:rRNA from 1 species